CUUCCUUUACUACAGAAAAUGGUCUUUUCUCGGUUCUUUUUAUAAGACUAGAUUUGGUAUGUUAUUUUUAUCAAUGUUUUCUCUGUAUUAUUUAAUCACAUUCUACACAGACAUCCACACAAACACACAUACUAUAACUAUAUAGUAGGAUUUUUUUGCUUAUACUUUUUUAUUCUAUUUUGAUCAACUUUCGUUUCAGUUGUUUUGUGAGAUAUGUUAGAACACGUUAAAUGCCUUAAUGUUGCCUAUUUCAACUAUUCUUUAUUGUUCGCUUCGAUUUCUGUGGAGUCUUUAUUCGUGUUAUUAUAACCGCGUAAUGCGUUGUUGGAGACAUAGAAAUAUUGGGCGUCCUUAAAUACCGUCCGCACGUCUGUCCGUCCGGUCUCUUUUAAUAGCGGGCUCUAAAUAACAUCUACAGAUCUUGCCAAAUUUUUGUAAACUUAUAACAUAGGUUUACAUCAACAAUGUAUUUGAUUACAUGUGUCCAUAAUUUGAUAGGCAGCGCUGAUCAUUUAUUUAUAAAAGAGAUAUGAUAUAAUGUAUAUAAGCCAUUUAGAAUUAUUAAUUGGAAAAUCGCAUUGUCAGCGCAAUCAUUUCUACCAUUUGUGACAGAAUUUAAAAAACUUCUGUAAUAUUAUUGAUAUCUAAUACGAGUGUGAAAAGCAAUGCUAAUCAAUUAUUUUUAAUAGACGUGUUACAAAUUGUAUAUAUACUCGACGCUGAGGUUGACAAAAUAAGACUUUAAAUGCCGGUAUCGGAUCAAAGCACACAAGUUAUUUAAAGAUUAAAUUACCUGUGUAUCAAUUAAAUCAUGGGUUUUUAAACUGCAUAGUGAUGAUGUCCGCGUAUAUUUACUUCUAAUAACAAACGUCCUUUUGAAAAAAAAUUAUUGUGGAUAAUUUCAUAAUGAAUAUUCCGUAUGAAACAAAUAUACAAUACUUAUUAUGAUUCCUGGAAGAAUUAAAAUGAUAUACCCUAUUUAACUUUAUAUAAAAGAAGGAAGGGGGGGGGGGUAUAUUUCUUUUUUACCUUGGUACAGUGUAUCCAAUUUCAUUAUGUAUGAAAAUACAUUGCCUUGGAUCGUUUACUUUUUUAACAAGUAUAUACUACGUGUACUCGGUCUGAUACCUACUCAGGGGAAAUAUGUUUCCUUUAUAUUAUUUGUAUGUAAAAUGUGACCGAUUCGACCUAAAAAACAUGUUUAUAUAUUCCUGCAAAGUUUCCAAAUAAUCCGCUUUGUAAUUUCUGAGGUACGAGUUAUUCCCCUUGGAUAUAUCAAUCAUAACGGAAAUUGCAUAAGUACAUUGCUCUGAAGCAUUCAUUUCUUUAAGAUUAUUAUAAAAAGUUUUUACAAGGUCAAUAACCUAAAAAAAGUCUUUCUUUUUUAAAUGUCCUUGUACCUCAAGACAUAAAUUUUUUUUUUUAUAUGUUUUAAAAUUACAAUAGCUAUAUGUGAAAAACUUCUAAAUUUUAUAGUCGAAUGUGUGUCGAGUAGUUUUUGGGAAGUAUAGUUUCAAGUUAAACAUUUUGUUUCUAACCUCUUGUGGAUCGUAUACGUAGUAAAUUAUAAGAACGACAAGUGUUCUGUGAUUGAAAAGAUGAUUGUGGUCGCUGUGAAUUACUUAUUAUCGAGCUAAAAUGUUUACAAAAACUUGUAGUUGCUGUUAAUUCGCGAAGCAUGCUUCAAAAAUAGAGUUAUUGACUCGGAGGUCAAAAGCUUUAGUAAGCCAACACGUCUCAUGUUAUGUAUGUCAUUUUUCUGAACAUUAGCCUGUAACAAAAAUGAUAUUGAAUUUAAAUGCAACUUGAACUAAAUAUUAAUAUUAAAGGCCUUAAAUAUAAAUCAAAUUAUAACCAUUAAAGUAUUCGAGACAUUUCAGAAUAUGUUAGAGUAUUCAUGUAAGUACAUGCAAUCUAUUUUAGGAUAAUGGCCACCAAUUGGGGUAUUUGUGGUAUUUGUGAAAAUCUUCAGAUUACCAAACCUUCAGUAGUAUGGUGUUCCGAAUGUGACGAAGGACUAUGUGAAGAUUGUAAGAAACAUCACGCGGUAUCCAAGGCAUCAAAAAACCAUGAAACCGUUUCUAUCGCCAAAUACAAAAACUUACCCACCGAUGUCCUGCAAAUCUCUCAGACCUGCAAACUUCAUAAUGAGAAAUACGAGCUGUUUUGUGCAAAACACGAUUGUCCAUGCUGUAAGAAAUGUGUGAAAUCUCACAACGAUUGUAAAGGUUUAACUGACAUAAAUGAACUCAUAAAAAACGUAAAAACUUCAAACGCAUUUAAUGAAAUCGAACAAACCCUGCAGGAAGUCGUCGAGAAUAUAAAACGACUAAGCACAAACAGGAAUGAAAAUUUAAAAUCUAUAGAAAACAAGAAAAGAGAAAUUGAAGCAGCAAUAAAACAAACCAGGAUAAACGUUAAUCAUCACCUUGAUAAACUUCAGGAUGACUUGAUUAAAGAACUAAUGACAGUUGAACAAAGAGAAAAAAGCAAAAUAGAAAAAUUGUUAACUUCUCUACAAAAGAAGGAAAAAGAGAUCGCUGAAGUACAAGAAAACUUUGUCAGUAUUAAAAAUCAUGCGUCAGAACUUCAAACAUUUUUAACAAUGAAAGAUAUCGAAAAAGAUAUUAUAGGCGAAGAAAAAUUUAUCAAAUCGAUUGCCACAAGUGACUCCACAAAUCAAGUCAAUAUUUCAUGUCAGAUUAACAAGUAUUUACAGCAAAUAACAGCCAGCAUGCAGAAGUUUGGAGAAAUUAAUGUCAGUUCUGAUCCAUGUGAUUUUACCAUUCAGAAACGGAAGGACAGACAAGCCCAGAUUAUGGUCACUCUUCCAACCAGAGAUAUCGAUAACCUGACUCUGACAUUACAGAAACGUAUCAUGCCAAAGCUGGUAUAUAUCUCUGGUUGUUCAUUGCUUCCUGGUGAUCGGAUGGUAUUCUCCUCUUUUAUAGACGGCAAAUUAACAGUACUAAAGUCUGACGGAUCAAAAGAUUUUGAGAUAAAGAACAUUGGUCCAACUUUCGAUGUGGUAUUUAGUGGUGAUGAUUCUAUUGCUGUAACUUCCGGCAAUUCAAAUCAGAUUAAUAUAAUCGACUUAAAGAAGAAAUCAAAGACGAAAUCAAUAAAAGUUGAUUCAUAUAAUGGUGGAGUAGCAUACAAAGAUGGAUAUUUAAUAUAUUGUGGUAAGGAGAAAGGACUACAGAUGAUCAGUCUAAAUGACGAAACAAUUACCAAUGUUAAAAAUACCAAACUUUCAGGUUUUGCGUACGUUACAACAUUCGGUGACAAAUUGUUCUACACAAAUUCCAAUGACAGCGUAACCUGCUGUGAUUACCAUGGUCACAUACUGUGGACGUUCUGUGAUAAAAGUGUUGUGCGCUAUCUACUAGGUGUCUCUGUAGACAAUGAUGGUAACGUGUAUGUAGUGGGAGGUAAUACUAGCAAUGUGGUUGUUAUCUCUGCUGAUGGACAACACUACAGACAACUCCUAUCAAGUGAAGAUGGACUGAGCUUCCCAAUGGCUCUGCAUUAUGACACGUCUACCAAUGAAUUGUUAGUUUUAAAUCCAUCCAAUGAAGCCUUUCUGUAUGAUGUUAAAUAAUAAGACAUGAAGGUUGACUUUUUCAACCUUAUUCAACAUUUUCUUGAUCUCGAUUACAAACAUUAUUUUAAUUGAAUUAUAUAAUUUUUUUGUGAUCUAAUUAAGAUCUGUUUAAAAUUAAUUUAUAGCGUUAUUAACUGACAAUUUCUGUAUUGGCCCUGUUAUAGAUUUGAGAUUAGCUGUAUUGGACCCGAGACUCGACGACAUCUGAUCGAGAUUAUACAGAAAAAUUAAACUUCUAAGGAUUCAUUAUUAUUCGUGGGGUACAGGUUUUGGUGGAUUUUGUUGGUAUAGAUAUACCUCAAAUUACAGUUAUGAGACAGACAGCAAUUCAUCUACAAAGAUGAUCUAAGGACAGUUCCAUAUGAGUAAUAGAAAAUGUCUGUCAUACGUUUUCGAGACAGCAAAUCAUCGAAAAAAAGUAUCUUAUGACAGUUCCGUAUAAAUAAAAGGAGAAAUCAGAGAACAUCCUUACUUAAUAUCAAGGACAGUUUAAUUUGAAGAUGUCUGUUAAAAAGUUCAGUAUAAAUAAACAAGGAAAUGUGUUACACGUAUACGAGACAACAACAUAAUGACAAAAUUAACAUAACUAUUUUCAAUUUAAGUAAAGAAGAUGUUGGUAUUACGUACAUGAGGCAGUUCGGCAAUGUCAAAAUAAUAAAACUAAUCAAUACCCAACUACGCUGUAUGAUAUCAAGAAGGUUUUUCGGUCAUGAUUGUCAAUAAGGAAAUUCGGUCAUGGUUAUCAAUAAGG
rnacentral:lncRNA from 1 species